CGGACCCGCGCCCGCGCAGGCGCAGUGGUUGGCUGUGUGCCCUCUAGGUGGCGUCCCAGGAAGAAGUCAGAAAAAAAAGAAUUGAGGAAAAUCUACUUGGGUCCUAGUCCUGGCUCUGAAACUACGUACUAUGGCCUUAGGAUCUCCAUGUGCAAAAAGCUGGAGUGAGAUUUACAAAACCGUACACCUUUUCAGAGUUCAUGAAGGGCCACGGGCAAACCGACAGUUGUGCAGCAGGAGAAGCUGCUGCUUUGAAAAAGUCUUUCUUCAGGGGCGAAUCUCAUCAACCUAAAGAUUUAACU